AGUGAACGCUGGCGGUAGGCCUAACACAUGCAAGUCGAACGGCAGCACAGUAAGAGCUUGCUCUUACGGGUGGCGAGUGGCGGACGGGUGAGGAAUACAUCGGAAUCUACUUUUUCGUGGGGGAUAACGUGGGGAAACUUACGCUAAUACCGCAUACGACCUACGGGUGAAAGCAGUGGAUCUUCGGACCUUGCGCGAUUGAAUUAGCCGAUGUCGGAUUAGCUAGUUGGGAAGGUAAAGGCCCACCAAGGCGACGAUGCGUAGCUGGCCUGAGAUGGUGAUCGGGCACACUGGAACUGAGACACGGUCCAGAGUCCUACGGGAGGCAGCAGUAGGGAAUCUUCCGCAAUGGGCGAAAGCCUGACGGAGCAACGCCGCGUGAGUAAUGAAGGUCUUCGGAUCGUAAAACUCUGUUAUGAGGGAAGAACAAAUGUGUAAGUAACUAUGCACGUCUUGACGGUACCUAAUCAGAAAGCCACGGCUAACUACGUG
rnacentral:rRNA from 1 species